GACGAACGCUGGCGGCGUGCUUAACACAUGCAAGUCGAACGCUGAAGACCUGGCUUUUGUUGGGUUGGAUGAGUGGCGAACGGGUGAGUAACACGUGAGUAACCUGCCCUCUUCUUUGGGAUAACGCCCGGAAACGGGUGCUAAUACUGGAUAUUCACUGGCCUUCGCAUGGGGGUUGGUGGAAAGGUUUGUUCUGGUGGGGGAUGGGCUCGCGGCCUAUCAGCUUGUUGGUGGGGUGAUGGCCUACCAAGGCUUUGACGGGUAGCCGGCCUGAGAGGGUGACCGGUCACAUUGGGACUGAGAUACGGCCCAGACUCCUACGGGAGGCAGCAGUGGGGAAUAUUGCACAAUGGGCGAAAGCCUGAUGCAGGGACGCCGCGUGAGGGAUGGAGGCCUUCGGGUUGUAAACCUCUUUCGCUCAUGGUCAAGCCGCAACUGUGGGUUGUGGUGAGGGUAGUGGGUAAAGAAGCGCCGGCUAACUACGUG
rnacentral:rRNA from 1 species